rnacentral:rRNA from 1 species
AGCAGCCGCGGUAAUUCCAGCUCCAAUAGCGUAUAUUAAAGUUGUUGCAGUUAAAAAGCUCGUAGUUGAAUUUCGGGAUCAAUACGUCGGUCGUGCUUUCGGGUACGUACUGGCGUCAUUGGUUUCUCCUUUCUGACGAACCAUGAUGUCAUUAAUUUGGUGUUAUGGGGAGUUAGGACUGUUACCUUGAAAAAAUUAGAGUGUUUAUAGCAGGCUAACGCUUGAAUACAUUAGCAUGGAAUAAUGAAAUAGGACGUUCGACCCUAUUUUGUUGGUUUCUAGGAUCGACGUAAUGAUUAAUAGGGAUAGUUGGGGGCAUUAGUAUUCAAUUGUCAGAGGUGAAAUUCUUGGAUUUAUUGAAGACUAACUACUGCGAAAGCAUUUGCCAAGGAUGUUUUCAUUAAUCAAGAACGAAAGUUAGGGGAUCGAAGACGAUCAGAUACCGUCGUA